UACGGAGGGUGCGAGCGUUGUCCGGAAUUACUGGGCGUAAAGGGCGCGUAGGCGGCCUGAUAAGUAGGGGGUGAAAUCCUGCGGCUUAACCGCAGGGCUGCCUUCUAAACUGUCAGGCUUGAGCACAGUAGAGGCAGGUGGAAUUCCCGGUGUAGCGGUGGAAUGCGUAGAGAUCGGGAAGAACAUCAGUGGCGAAGGCGGCCUGCUGGGCUGUUGCUGACGCUGAGGCGCGACAGCGUGGGGAGCAAACAGG
rnacentral:rRNA from 1 species